UGAGCUGUUUUUAAAGGAAUUGUGUCAAUAAAACACAAUAAAAAAAUCUGUUCUUAUCAGUUUAAUAUCUGAUACGUCCCCUAUCUGGGGACCAUAUAUUAAAUAGAUUUUUGGAAUAGGGAGAUGGAAUAGGGGCUUUCUCCGUCCACUCCACGCAUCGACCUGGUAUUGCAUUACCUCCAGGAACGGUGCACCCCCU